ACUCCUGCACGCGCACGAGUUCUUCACUGUCCCGAUCUAAAUCCUCAUCCAAUCGACUCAUCUGUUGCCCCUAGUACAUGCAUGACCCCAUAUAAAUACUCCCUGUGUCCUACUCGUUCGAGUUUUGCCAAAAUCACCAUCGCCCGUGCCCGAGGUCGAUUUCGCGAUCUCGCCGGAGUUCCGCCGUCGCAGAAGCUUUUCCUCGGUCGAUUUCGCCGCCAUCAGCAGGGGAGCACCAGGACGACGCCCGCAACCCCGACCCGAAGAUCACCGCCGCCACCAACAACGGACGCCCCGCUUCGACCUGCUUCAACCCAACGUCCCCGACGAUCACCAGGACCACCUCGACCCCCUCGUCGAUCGGUACCUCUCCGCCCCCUUCACUGACUCCCAGGGCCACGGGAACGGCCGCCGGCAACAACCUCGAGCCGCUCGCGCCGUCAUCUUCCUCAAGUCCGGUGACCACCUCGAUCUGUUCUCCGGUGAGUCAACACGCAUCGUCCGAUCUCUCUCCGAGGGCCAAGAUUAGAUCUAUUUUUUUCUUAAAGCCGAACCGUUUUCCUCUAAAUAGCGACCGUUCUUUGCUUAAGGCUAGCAGCAAACACCCUACGGCCACUCACAGAUUGCCACGUGGCACAUCCACAGCAGCCGCAGCAGUUCUUCCAGGAAAGCUGUUUUGGCACAAUUUUUGUUUUUAGAUUUCAUAUCAAAUGUUCAUUUAGGUAUAUCUUGAGAUCCGUAUAUCCAAAUUCACCGAUUCUUUUUCCUGUGUACUCCUAGAGUCCAGAGAAUACUAUAGAACCAAAAUUUCACAUUUUUGAACUAUUCAAAUUUGAAUUUGUUUAAAUUUGAAUUCGAACUUCUGGAGGCCAUAUCUUUUAAACCACUGAUCCAAAUUAGUUGAUUCUUUUUGCAUUGUGAUCCUACUGGCAUGUACAUAAUAUAUACCUACGGAUAUGUUCUAUUAAUUAAGUUUUUAUUUGAAUUAUUUCUUGUUGGCUUUAUUGUGAUUUAUGUGACUAUGGUUUAUUUAUCGGUGCCUUCGUUAAUCGUAUAAAUUAUUCGGAGUGUGAAGCAGAUUGGAAUUAAGCGUUAGAGUACAUCAACACCGUUCAAGGCAAGUUGCACUUUUGAUUAUGCUCAUCCUAUAUGUCUGUUGUGCACUGUUAUGAUAUGUUAUAUGCUUGGUAUGCCUCUUAUAUUGCGUGUCGCCAUGUGCGUGUCCUGUUUGCAUUGUUUAAUUGUAUGCUUGGAUUUGCUAUGGUAGACGUGGGUAUGUGUCGAGUGGUGCAUGGAAGUGGUGAGUCUUUAUAGCUGUAGGCUCGGGACUUUUUCUCAGGUGAAUGCGUCAAUGGCUAAGCGCUCUAUUGUCCCUAGAGAAUGCGCCAUGACUGAGCGCACUUGGGUUGUCGGAGCUUUUUCUCACGUGAAUGCGUCACUGGCUGAGCGCUCUAUUGUCCCUAGAGAAUGCGCCAGGACUGAGCGCACUUGAGACAUCUUGAAGAUCUUUAUCAUCUGUGUUGUUUGCACCUUGCCUAUGUCGUGGAGGUAGGUGAAGGUAGUUCUUGAGUGUUUUGUUUGUCAUGCUUUGCUUUGUAGAUGUAGGUUUGCUUUAUCAUUACGUGUAAUUUGCCAAUACAUUCAAUGUAUUGACCCUAUGUGGCUGCAACUUAUCAUGUUGCAGGAUAUUCAGGUGAUCAGUGAGAUACAGUAGGGUCGCGAGUCUUCACUCAGCAUUUUCGCCAGUGGGCAUUGAUGGGAUUCAUCGUUUAUUAUGCUAGCUUUCCGCUGUUAUUAUUGAAUAAAGCUAGCUAUGUGCUACUCAGUUUGUAAUACCUUAUGAAUUCUGGAUCAUACGUUAUAGUAAACGAUGCACUUGUUAUUUGAUAUUCA